GCCUUCGUGGUGUAGUGGUCAGCACGCUCGACGCGCAACCGAGAGGUCCGUGGUUCGAUUCCCUGCGAAGGCG
rnacentral:tRNA from 1 species